GAACGGGUGAGUAACACGUGGGCAACCUGCCCAAAAGAGGGGGAUAACACUUGGAAACAGGUGCUAAUACCGCAUAACCAUAGUUACCGCAUGGUAACUAUGUAAAAGGUGGCUAUGCUACCGCUUUUGGAUGGGCCCGCGACGCAUUAGCUAGUUGGUGGGGUAAAGGCUUACCAAGGCAAUGAUGCGUAGCCGAACUGAGAGGUUGAUCGGCCACAUUGGGACUGAGACACGGCCCAAACUCCUACGGGAGGCAGCAGUAGGGAAUCUUCCACAAUGGGCGAAAGCCUGAUGGAGCAACGCCGCGUGGGUGAAGAAGGUCUUCGGAUCGUAAAACCCUGUUGUUAGGGAAGAAAGUGCGUGAGAGUAACUGUUCACGUUUCGACGGUAUCUAACCAGAAAGCCACGGCUAACUACGUGCCAGCAGCCGCGGUAAUACGUAGGUGGCAAGCGUUAUCCGGAUUUAUUGGGCGUAAAGAGAACGCAGGCGGUCUUUUAAGUCUGAUGUGAAAGCCUUCGGCUUAACCGGAGUAGUGCAUUGGAAACUGGGAGACUUGAGUGCAGAAGAGGAGAGUGGAACUCCAUGUGUAGCGGUGAAAUGCGUAGAUAUAUGGAAGAA
rnacentral:rRNA from 1 species